rnacentral:rRNA from 1 species
GUGAGGUAACGGCUCACCAAGGCGACGAUGGGUAGGGGAACUGAGAGGUUUAUCCCCCACACUGGUACUGAGACACGGACCAGACUCCUACGGGAGGCAGCAGUGAGGAAUAUUGGUCAAUGGGCGAGAGCCUGAACCAGCCAAGUCGCGUGAAGGAAGACCGUCCUAAGGAUUGUAAACUUCUUUUAUACGGGAAUAACGGGCGAUACGAGUAUUGCAUUGAAUGUACCGUAAGAAUAAGCAUCGGCUAACUCCGUGCCAGCAGCCGCGGUAAUACGGAGGAUGCGAGCGUUAUCCGGAUUUAUUGGGUUUAAAGGGUGCGUAGGUUGUUCGGUAAGUCAGCGGUGAAACCUGAGCGCUCAACGUUCAGCCUGCCGUUGAAACUGCCGGGCUUGAGUUCAGUGGCGGCAGGCGGAAUUCGUGGUGUAGCGGUGAAAUGCAUAGAUAUCACGAGGAACUCCGAUUGCGAAGGCAGCUUGCCAUACUGCGACUGACACUGAAGCACGAAGGCGUGGGUAUCAAACAGG